UCUCUCUAUAAAGAGAUCAAAAACAAAAAAAUCCUUCACUACCCUCUGAAUAAUCUACCUCUCAUAUUAUGUAGUUGCCUAGACAAUUUCUCUAGAACGUCCCCACUGGAUAUGUGGUUGUAGACAAGAGCCGUUCCAAGAAAACCCACACAAAUCCCUCCACCACCCACUUCCCCAACUUCCCUCAGAGCAAUCUGUGUUGUAGCUUCAAUAUCACGAGAAUUUUCAUGAUGUUUUGCAACUCUGCAGGAUCAGUGUCUGGGACUUGUUUUCUGGUCACUGUGACAUCUGCUGUGCCUGACACCUUUCCUCGUAAAGGCCCCGCUCCUGGAUCUAGCGAAAUUCCUGUUGUCCAUUGCCUUUACUGGAUUAAUAAAGGAACUCUCUUAGUUUUCAGAUAGAUACGGCUGCUAUUUGCCCUGAAUAGGAAAAGUGGAUUCUGAAAUUUCCAGCGAGUUGCAAGCUGAGUUUCCUUCUCCAACCAAGACAAACGCAGAAAGGGCAGGAACCUCCAUACUGCUUUCCACAGGGACUACACCCAUUUGCAUUCCUACCAACAGUGCACAAGAAUUCCUUUUUCUCCACAUACUUGCCAACACUUAUUGUUUCUUGUGCUUAUGAUUUUAGCCAUUCUGACAAGUGUAAAGUGAUAUCUCAUUGUGGUUUGAAUUUGCAUUUCUCUGAUGAGUAGUGCAAUCUACAGAUUUAAUGCAAUUCCUAUCAAAAUUCCAACAUUUUUUGUUCACAGAACUAAAACAAAUAAUCCUAAAAUUUGCAUAGAACCACAAGAGACCCCAAAUAGCAAAAGCAAUCUUGAGAAAGGAGAACAGAGCUGGAGGUAUCAUACUCUCCGAUUUCAAGGUAUACUACAAAGCUGUAGUAAUCAAAACAGUAUGGUACUGGCCUCAAAACAGACACAUAGGUCAACAGAAGAGGAUUGAGACUCCAGAAAUGAAACCACACUUAUACAGUCAGUUAAUCUAUGACAAAGGAGGCAAGAAUAUGCAAUGAACAAAGGACAGUUUCUUCAACAAAUGGUGUUGAGAAAACUGAACAGCUACAUGCAAAAGAAUGAAAUCGGACCACUCUUAUACUAUACACAAAAAUAAACUCAAAACACAUUAAAGAUCUAAAUGUGAUACCUGAAACCAUAACACUCCUAGAAAAAAAAUAGGCAGUAAUUCCUUUGAUAUUAGCCAUAGAAACAUUUUUCUAGAUACAUCUCCUCAGGCAAGAGAAAAAAAAAAGUGAAAUCACCUAUCGGAACUAUUGCGGAAGAAAAGGCUCUUGUACAGCAAAGGAAACCACCAACAAAACAAAAAGGCAAACCACUGAUUGGGAGAGGAUAUUUGCAAAUGAUAUAUCCAACUAAGGGUUAAUAUCCAAACUUAAGAAAGAACUUACACAACUCAACAUCAAAACAAACGAACAAACAAACCAAUCAAAAAAUGGGCAGAGGACCUAAAUAGACAGUUUUCCAAAGAAGACAUACAGAUGGCCAACAGACACAUGAAAAGAUGCUCAACAUCACUGAGAGGGCUCAUCUACUACCCCCUCAUCUUGACAAUGAUUUCUGAAAUCCUACUUAUUCUAUCUUUUCAACUGUAGCUUCAUAUAGUGUCUUCACACAGAUUUUUUAAAAAAGAUUUUAUUUAUUUAUUUGAGAGAGAGACAGUGAGAGAGACCAUGAGAGAAGAGAAGGUCAGAGGGAAAAGCAGACUCCCCAUGGAGCUGGGAGCCCCAUGUGGGACUUGCUAAAGGCAGUUGCUUAACCAACCCAGGUGCCCUCUUCACACAAAUUUUAACCAAACAGAACAAUGUGAUGAUCUCUCAACCACAGUUUUCUAUCUUUCUGCUUUGCUCACAUAUCCUAUUCUCUGCCUGAAAAGCUUUCCUUCUGUUUUACUUAUGGACACGUCCUAUCACCCCAUCUUUAUUCUACAUAUAUUCAUGAGGUACUCACUGUGUCUUAGGCACUAUUCUAAGUGAAUAAGAUAUAACUUGCCCCUCAAAGUGUUAACGAUAAAGUCACUUCCAUAAUAGGCACAUAUAUAUGGCCCUAGGGAAGCACAUAAAAGAAAACAGUUGACUUUGAAGAGGCUUUACAUGUGUAUCUCCCCUACUAACCAUAUGAUCAUCAGAGCAAAGCUGUCCUAUACACAACAAAUAUGCCCUAAAUGUCACAGUGCCAAGAAUUGAAAUAGACACUUAGAGUGUCUGGGGCUCUUAUCCUUAUAGUGACUUCAAUUUACUGAUGAUUAAGUUUUUAGAACACAGACAGUUAGUAUUACUCCCUACUUCCUGUAUUCUUCUUUCAAGACAUUUUCAUAUAGUGCUAUAGUGAGUGAAAGUAAUGACCAGUCUUGGUAGAAAUAGAAAAUCUAGAGAAUACAUAAGAAAAAAAAGUAUCUCUCUUUUUCUUUUUUCUUUUAAGAGUAAGCUUUUUGAGUUGAAUUAUUUUCAUCAAGGCAAAAAUGAUCCUUCCAAAUGGGGAGGGAAAACAAAAUAAAACAUUUCUUUGAAGUCAAAUGGGCUUUUGCUUUGGAUCUUAUUAUAGCUCUAAGAGAUGCUCUAAGAGAACUUUUAGUACCACAAACUACAGAGUUGAAGUUGUAAGUUGGGGGAGAAAUUUGAGAAUAUUUUCACUUAAGUAGUAAAUUUCUAUAACGGGUAGCUCAGUUUGUUCUACUAAUCAUGCUUCUCAUCUCUACAGACCGAUGUAUUGCUUCUCAUUUGAACCCUGUAAGACACAAUUUUCCCAGCUACAAUAAAGCUGAAAAACAUGAAAAAAA